rnacentral:rRNA from 1 species
UACGGAGGGCGCGAGCGUUGUCCGGAAUCACUGGGCGUAAAGGGCGCGUAGGCGGCUCAUGAAGGCUGUGGUGAAAGUCCGGGGCUCAACCUCGGAUCGGCCGUGGCGACUCGUGGGCUGGAGCACUGUAGAGGCGGGUGGAAUUCCGGGUGUAGCGGUGGAAUGCGUAGAGAUCCGGAAGAACACCAGUGGCGAAGGCGGCCCGCUGGGCAGUGGCUGACGCUGAGGCGCGACAGCGUGGGGAGCAAACAGG